AAAGGAAUUGACGGGGACCCGCACAAGCAGAGGAGCAUGUUGUUUAAUUCGAAGCAACGCGAAAAACCUUACCAAGACUUGACAUUUGGUGCAUAGCCUAGAGAUAGGUGAAGUUGUAGCAAUACAACACCAAAACAGAUGGUGCAUGGUUGUCGUCAGCUCGUGUCGUGAGAUGUUCGGUUAAGUCCGAUAACGAGCGCAACCCUUAUCGUUAGUUGCCAAUAUUUAGUUAGGAACUCUAGCGAGACUGCCGUAGAUAAUACGGAGGAAGGUGGGGAUGACGUCAAAUCAUCAUGCCUCUUACGUCUUGGGCUACAAACGUGCUACAAUGGUCAUUACAAAGAGAUGCGAUGUGGUAACGCUGAGCCAACCUCAAAAAAAUGAUCCCAGUUCGGAUUGUGGGCUGAAACUCGCCCACAUGAAGUCGGAUUUGCUAGUAAUCCCGAAUCAGCAUGUCGGGGUGAAUGCGUUCCCGGGUCUUGUACACACCGCCCGU
rnacentral:rRNA from 1 species